UACGUAGGGUGCAAGCGUUAAUCGGAAUUACUGGGCGUAAAGCGUGCGCAGGUGGUUUUACAAGACCGACGUGAAAUCCCCGGGCUCAACCUGGGAAUGGCGUUGGUGACUGUAAGACUAGAGUGUGGCAGAGGGGGGUGGAAUUCCACGUGUAGCAGUGAAAUGCGUAGAGAUGUGGAGGAACACCGAUGGCGAAGGCAGCCCCCUGGGCUAACACUGACACUCAUGCACGAAAGCGUGGGGAGCAAAC
rnacentral:rRNA from 1 species